UAAAUGAGAAUUAUUGGGUAAUAUGAUGAUUGACUUUUUUCAAUGUAAAUAAUUUCAUUAGUAUUCCCUAUAUUAAUUAUGUCAUCAAUGAAAAUAACUAAUAUUUUACCAUUUAAAAUAUGUUGACAAUCCCCAUAAAUGACAAUCAAAUUAGUGAAAGUGAGCAUAGAGUUGGACCUCAAUCCUGUGACUAUGUCUUCACGAGACAGGGGGGAGAGACCUUGGGAUUCUCUUUUCAAUCGCAAGAAGGAAUCAAUUCCUCCAUUUUGGGUUUGGAUGAAACAGAGGUCCAAGAGACGGCUGAGUCUGAGAUGGGAGCGUUGCCGAGUGGGGAACAACCGUUAGCUUCAAGUGAGACAGUGGUGCGACAAGGAAUAGCUAUCGGUGCUGGCCUGGGUCAGGAUGAUUCUUUGGAGUUUUCCAUAACCGGAUUGCCUGUUGCUACCAGAGCCUCCUCUGACUUGUGCCCUGACUCGUUUUUGCAUAAGUGCUACGUCUCUGUUGAGCUGGAAAGAAAUCCAUGUUGUGUAUUGUGCCAGAAAAGCUAUUGAUAGUAUGGAAGGGUUCACAUCCCACGCCCUUGUAUGAUUCCUCAAUAAGGCAGCUUUUUAAGUCAUUUACUUCUGCUACUAUAUGGUGGAGUUUGAUAUGAAGGCCAGUAUUCAAGCUGGUCAUAACGCUCUGUAAGAUCAAAGUUUUGAUCUAGCAGUACAACUCUAUGUUUUGAUGAUUAUAAGUUGACCUUUUGAUAUGAACAAUUGUGGUACUCUAACGUGUUUUUCUGAGUGUGCUAUUUACAGGCUCUGACCUCAACUCAAUCUCACACAAAUCAGAAGCACUGUGUAUAAAGAGCUACCCAAGCAACGCUUUCGCAUUCACUAUGUUCAGUAUGAACAGUGGAAAAGCUUCAGAAGGUCUGAAGUUAUACAAACUCUGAUGUGGACUCAGUCACGAGAAGCUCUGAAGAUCCAGAAAGUCUGAUAACCAAGAAACACUGAAGGCUCAGAUGUUCUGAUGGUGUAGAAGACUCUGAAGAUCCAGAAGCUGAUUAGUGAAGUUCUGAUGUCCAGAAGCAAGAUACUCUGAAGACCAUGUUCUUCCCUCUGAGUUCAGAAUCAGAAGAAACAAUGGUCCGAGGAUCUGGGCUUUCCCUCUGACUCUGAUCAACCGGCUUCACAAGUUCCAAUAUGAAGCAUUCCCCUGAUCAGAAGUCUCCUAGGUUUAAAGGUCGCGUCGCUAUCCAAGUACAAAAGCAUAUGUACUAUCCUGACGACCUACCUAACAGUCUCAGACACAGCAGAAGCUGGAUUUUCCAGAACUGCCCUCCAACGGUAGCAUUUCCCAUGCACCGCUCAACCCUAAUCCUUGGAGUAUAUAAAGAGGCUGAAGACUGAAAGAAACGGCUAGAAGCAUUCACAUACGCGCAAGACAAACUUAAAUUCUUCUAAGCUUUCUUUCAUCUGAAAUUCAUUGAGUUUACUAUUAGCUUUUUAGAAGCAAAUCUCUUGUAAACAAUUCUUUGAUAAACAGUUUGUUUAGUUCCUUUAGGAGAUCAAGGUUGAUCGGAUCCUAGAGAAGACUAAGAGAGUGAAUCUUA